UUGUAACUGUACUACUGCAUAUUUUAAUUUGCUGGAAGUUAAGGCUUUGAAAUACUCAAGAUACAUCUGUUGCAGGUUGCAUUCUGAAAAAGGAUAGCUACUUCAAAGUGCUGUGCCCAGGAUAAAUUGCUAAUCCAGGAAUGAAGCCAUGGAUAUAUAGAGCUACAAGUAUAAGGCAGCAAAAAAUGCUUUGAUCAGGAGACAUGAGAAGACUCGAUCUUCUGUCUAGUGCUGACACAGGCAAAGUCAUGUCUUCUCAUCUCUUCAGCCUGCUGAGAAGUGAUGCUAGGUUCUGUACAGUAAAAAGGCAUCAGAUGUCUUGUUGA
rnacentral:lncRNA from 1 species